UACGUAGGGAGCAAGCGUUGUCCGGAAUCAUUGGGCGUAAAGCGCGCGUAGGUGGCCUCAUAAGUCCGCUGUGAAAGUCAAAGGCUCAACCUUUGAAAGCCGGUGGAUACUGUGGGGCUAGAGUACGGAAGAGGCGAGUGGAAUUCCUGGUGUAGCGGUGGAAUGCGCAGAUAUCAGGAGGAGCACCAAUAGCGAAGGCAGCUCGCUGGGACGUUACUGACACUGAGGCGCGAAAGCGUGGGGAGCGAACAGG
rnacentral:rRNA from 1 species